UACGUAGGGUGCAAGCGUUGUCCGGAUUUAUUGGGCGUAAAGAGCGUGUAGGCGGUUAGGUAGGUCCGUUGUGAAAAACUCGAGGCUCAACCUCGAGACGCCGAUGGAAACCAUCUAACUAGAGUCCGGAAGAGGAGAAUGGAAUUCCUGGUGUAGCGGUGAAAUGCGCAGAUAUCAGGAAGAACACCCCGUGGCUAAGGCGGUUCUCUAGUACGGUACUGACGCUGAGACGCGAAAGCGUGGGGAGCGAACAGG
rnacentral:rRNA from 1 species